ensembl:lncRNA
GAAAAGUUCAGCUGAACUUGUGGCUGAAUUUUAUAAGUAUAAACUUUUAUUAAAAACUGGCUAUAAAGGAUACAUUACCAUCCGCAAUGUUUUCUAAAUCUGAUGAAGGACUUUACAGCUGUAAUCUCUCUGGAGAGGGAGAAUCACCACAGAGCUGGCUGACUAUCCGAAAAUAUGUGUUUGAAGUGUCUAAAGAAGAAAAUCAACCACACCAAAGUCAUUCCUCGUAUCCGUCCCCACUGGAUUAUCAUCUGUGUUUACCUGGUUGCUCUACAACUCUUAAUGAUGGGACUAAAUCACUAUACAAGAGAUAUAGCAGCUAAAGAUGAACUUAAGACUAUAGUGGUUUACUCAACCAUGAGCACUGAUCAGAACCUGACUCAUAUCAAAGGCAGUUUCAGACCUCCAGUGUUUCAGUCCUUUAAAACCAAAUGGAAUUAAUUUUGUCACAGAGAGAGACUCUGAAUGUCAAAGGUCAAAGUGAAGCCAACUGAAAAUCAAGUAACCUGUGUGUUUUUAUCACUGAGUGUAUAAACACCCAACUACAGAAUAAAGCUGGAAUUCAA